UUUAUAAGUUAAAUGAAUAAAUACAAGGCAGAUAAACUUUGACUAAUAUCCACAAUAAAUAAUAUACUAAAACUUAAGAGUGGAAAUAGUGUGGCUUAGAAGAGAAAUGGUUUUCAAAGGCUCCUCAAACCCAGAGGUUUGAGGGAGUGAUUAUUUUUCAAAGGCUGUGUGAUCUUAUCGGUGGAUUAAUCCAGUAGCAGAAUUAAAAUGUGAUGUCAUUAUUGGGAGGUGUUAGAAAGAAAGAGGUAGGACCCAGCUACAGAGGGUAUAUAGCUCAUUUGGAAUGUGCCCUGGAAAGGUAUACCUUGUCCACAACUCCUUCUUCUUAGUCUCUAUGCCUUCUGUUUACAAGAAUUUGAGGAGCUUCAUGUCACCUCAUGGCCCUGACAUAAUGUUCUGUCUGUCUCACUGUAGCCCAGAAACAAGAGUCCAGUCAGUGAUCAUAAACAAAAACUUCUAGAACCAACCACCAAAAUAAUUCUUUCCUCACUUUCUGUUGUUUGUAAUAGAUUCUGCCACAGCAAUGAAACCUAAGCACCUGGAAAUAAGGAGCAACCCUGAAAGGUGAAUUGUAUGGACUGCCUAAACUGUGGUCUAGUCUUCUGUGACCUGCAGACCCUGUGUUUGAAGGAUUUGUAUUCUGCUGCUGUUACUAGAAGCACAAAACCUACUGAAGAAAACACCAGAAGAACUUCCUAAACUCACAAGCUAUCUGAGGACGUAGAACAACCAGCCCAAGGAUGGCACAACCAAUAUUCAGCUGGGACCUCCCUUUUUGGUCAUUAAUGAUGAAACACCAUGAACCAAGGCAACUUAUAGAAGAAAAGCCAUUUGGCUAUGUUCGCAGAAGAGUAGAGUCCAUAUCAAUGGGAACAACAUGGCUACAAGUGGCAGGAAUGGCAACUAGAGCAGGAAGUUGAGUGCUCCCACCCUCAAACUGAAAAUAUGAAGGCAGAAAACUGGAACCAGGUGGGGCUGUGUUUCAUUUUGUUUUUAUCUCAAAGUCCACGCCCCAAUGGGACAAGGUUAUACCACCUAAACUUUAUAUCACCACCAACCAGACACAAAGAGUUCAAAUGCCCAAGACUAUAGGUGACACUCCUCAUUCAAACCACUGCAAUACAUUUUUCUUUUGGGUUAUUGUGCAUUUAGUAUUAGAUCUCAGAAAGCGUGGCCACCUAAAUCAUAGUCACAGUGCUUUUUUCUAAAAGUUUUAUAGAUCAAAGUUGACAUGGACAUAUGUGUGUUUUAGUUUAAUUUCAUUUAUAAAGCACGGAAUGUGACAUAAGAUUCGAAAGAUUCUCUUUGCAGAUUGGCACUAUUGAAAUGUUUCCCCUUUACAUUUGAGUUGCCUUUAAGCCUUUAUUUAAAACCAGUGCAUACAUACCAUGAGUCUAUUUCUGGACUCUUGCUUUCACAUUGCCAUUUCCCUGUCUUGAUGCAAGUGGCUCAUUGUGCUCCACUUGCACAGAUACAGCUAGAUUUGCAGUUAACCUCAGAACCAGGUAAGUACUCCAACUUCUUGUUUUAUUUAUUUAAUGUAUUUUCAUUUUCCACUUGCAAUGUAGAGUUGGUUUGUCAAUUUUAUUAAAACUUUAUUGAUAAUCUAACAAGGACUGUAUUGACUAUUGAUCCACUAGUGUAUAACUCACCAUUUAACAAUGUUGAAUAUUUUAAUGUCUCUACAUGUAUAAACAUUUUUAAAUUG
rnacentral:sRNA from 1 species